rnacentral:lncRNA from 1 species
UUUCCUCUUUCAGGUAAUAUCAGCAUUGGCGUCAUCGUCGGGAUUGUCAUUGCCGUGAUUGUCAUCAUUUGUAUUGUCUGUGUGGCAUUCAAUGGGUGGUCACAAGGAAUACAGGGAGCAGCCGUGUGUCUGUGUCUGUGCCUGGGAGAGAUUCUGCAGGAAUGCUGAGAAGCACCCACACCAGCAGAGCUUGUUUUUAUGCUUGCUUUUAUUCCACCCAGGAGGCGUUUAUUGGGCAUCUUCACUUGUUUGUCUCUAUGAAACCCUACCAUGAAGACCAUAAAUCUACCACAAACCAGGGCCACAUACUACAGCAUUUAUAGCCCAAGCUAGUUUGGACCGUUAAGUGAAAAUACGAUCAAAACUGUACAAAACACAAACAAUUUCCAAGAAUUGUAGGGUUCAAGAGGUUCCAGGAAUCUCAAACCGGACCGGUACAAGAAGCAGAGCUAAUGUAGUUGAGAAGGAGCUACAGCAGAACCAUCGGGUCACUGAGCACUGUAGGAGUCUGGUUAGUUAGGCAUGUGUUUAAAAUCAGCUAAUUUAAUCAAACGAUUCAAACUUAAAUUUGCAUAACCCUAUUCACUUUCUUACCGAGAGUUAGAUGAGAAGAUCAACAUCUGCCUUUCUGUUAAACAUGAAGCUAUAGCCAGCCACCAGUUAGCUUAGCUUAGCUUAGCAUAAAGACUGGACACAGGUGGAAACAGCCAGCCUAGCUUUAGCAACAAAAUCUUCUUUCCACCAUCCCUGAAGUCUUGUUGUCACAGUGAGAUAAAAACCAGAGACGUCAGGAAGUCACUGCACCCGGCCAAGAAAUAGUUCCUGAACAUGACUGAACAAAAAAACCAUGACAUUUGUUUUGGACGAAUGUUUUUGUUUUUGGACGAAUUAGACUAAUGAUACGUAACAUGUGAUGCUUCCACCUGUUCCCAGUCUGUAUGCUAAGCUAAGCUAAGCUAAGCUAAGCUACCUGGCUGUUGCUUCACAUUAAUCGUACAAUGUGAUCUAAUUUCUUUAAGAUUUUUGUAGUUUGUUUAUUUUUAGUUUGGUUUGGUAAGCGUAGAUUUCACAUGAUUAUGUUUAUUGUUUUAAGCUUUAUUCAGAUCUGGAGCCCAGCACUACAGGGCAGUCACCUCUUGUUAGUCAUCCCUGAGCCAGGAUAUAAAACACUUUUAUCAAAAUAGAUGAAUUGAAUCAAAUAAACUUUCACAUUUCCUUGACACCUCGUUGAUGUUCUUGUUUUCUUUCCAAGAGUCGACAUGUGAAACGGACUGCAAACUGACAUUAAAUUUAAUUCAGUCUAAAAAAAACAAAACUGUUGCUAUAAUGACCCAAAUGACGA